CAGCCACCUCUGCUACUCCAGAACAAAACUCAGCAGUCUACACUACUACCACAGGAAGAAUCUCAGGUGUCUAUAUUUCUACUACAGUUCAGAGCUCAGCCACCUCUUCUACUCCAGAACAAAACUCAG